rnacentral:rRNA from 1 species
GUGGGGAAUAUUGGACAAUGGGCGAAAGCCUGAUCCAGCCAUGCCGCGUGUGUGAAGAAGGUCUUCGGAUUGUAAAGCACUUUAAGUUGGGAGGAAGGGCAGUAAGUUAAUACCUUGCUGUUUUGACGUUACCGACAGAAUAAGCACCGGCUAACUUCGUGCCAGCAGCCGCGGUAAUACGAAGGGUGCAAGCGUUAAUCGGAAUUACUGGGAGUAAAGCGCGCGUAGGUGGUUUUGUAAGUUGGAGGUGAAAUCCCCGGGCUCAACCUGGGAACUGCCUCCAAAACUGCAUGACUAGAGUACGGUAGAGGGUAGUGGAAUUUCCUGUGUAGCGAUGAAAUGCGUAGAUAUAGGAAGGAACACCAGUGGCGAAGGCGACUACCUGGACUGAUACUGACACUGAGGUGCGAAAGCGUGGGGAGCAAACAGGAUUAGAUACCCGGGUAGUCC